GCAACAAUAAAUAUAUAAUAUGUUGAAAGUAUAACCUUCUCUUCAAAAUUUCGUGUUAUCGAUAAAAGAUUUAACAUAAUGGAAAAUUCAUCAAAGGAACUAAACGAAGAUAGAUUUCUUGUUGGUGACAAAUUAUUUUACUAGAAACAAGUAUUUACGUGUACCGGAGCUGUGGAACAUAACCUCAAGAUAUCCAUGGUGAUGAUGCCUUAUGUGCUGUUAAAAAAGUGAUGAUAAUAUUUAUAUUGUAAAUGCCUGUUCCAUGAAGAGACCAUGAAAAACUACAUUCAGAACGGAAGAUUUAAAAUAAUUUACAAAUACUGAAGCAUGUUACCGGGACAGAAAUUGCUACUUUAACAUAACCCAUACAAAUCUUAAUAAAGUUGUAACAUUAGUAAAAAUAUGCUAAAACUAUUUUAUGAUCUUUUUAUUAGCAAUAGAAAAAAAAACAAAUUAUUAGUAUGGUAGUGUUUUAUUUCCUGUUUUACACUUCCUCAGAUAGUAAACUGCUUAUUAACAAGUUUAGCAAAUUUGUUAGGUGACAAGCAAGCAAUGAAUCA